rnacentral:misc_RNA from 1 species
UUCAGUUGCUAGUUUGAUAGGCUUUAAAAGGAUGAUUUCAAGAUACAGAAUCAGAAGCGUCGGGAACAUCAUCUAGGAUGACAGGACCUAGUUUUCCUGUUCUAAAUAAAGUAAGAAAUUUCUUUGAUACCAUUAUCCGAGCUUCUGAAGCCUUGUGAGGUAUCUUCAGAGCCUUCUGCAAUGCUUCAAACUGGUGUUCGAUUAGAAUCUCCAGGUCAGAUUCAUCUUCCAAACUACCACUGAACUCUGAGAGGGUGAUGCAAAGUGUGCGUUGGACUUCACUAACCAUAUCCUGAACUCGGUAGGCAUUAGAUUUGUUCAUG